AAAUAAUACAGUGCUGAGAGCGUCAUGAUUCAGCCCUUCAUUAGAAGAAAAGAUGCAAAAUGGAUAUGUUUCUCCCUGGGUAGCCAAUUCUUAAAUUUUGCAAAUUGUAAAAGUAGAUCAAGCAUCCAGUAACGUGGAUUAAAAACCACCCUCAUUUGGUUGGGCCACACCUUAACUAAGAAGCUCAUCUCCAAGAGCUCCUGUUUACAAAGGGUCCGCACCCACAGGAAAGCAGGUUGAGACGAAGAACAUGUCCAUGUUGGGAUGAGAGAUCCAAGGCAUGGAGAGGAGAAGUUUCUUCAGGGUCACCAGC